rnacentral:rRNA from 1 species
GUAACCUGCCCAGAAGUAGGGGAUAACACCUGGAAACAGAUGCUAAUACCGUAUAACAGAGAAAACCGCAUGGUUUUCUUUUAAAAGAUGGCUCUGCUAUCACUUCUGGAUGGACCCGCGGCGUAUUAGCUAGUUGGUGAGGUAAAGGCUCACCAAGGCAGUGAUACGUAGCCGACCUGAGAGGGUAAUCGGCCACAUUGGGACUGAGACACGGCCCAGACUCCUACGGGAGGCAGCAGUAGGGAAUCUUCCACAAUGGACGCAAGUCUGAUGGAGCAACGCCGCGUGAGUGAAGAAGGGUUUCGGCUCGUAAAGCUCUGUUGUUAAAGAAGAACGUGGGUAAGAGUAACUGUUUACCCAGUGACGGUAUUUAACCAGAAAGCCACGGCUAACUACGUGCCAGCAGCCGCGGUAAUACGUAGGUGGCAAGCGUUAUCCGGAUU